rnacentral:snoRNA from 1 species
AUCUCUCCAGAUUCCUUACCCCUAGGACUUAACUAUUGGUCUGAGUGACUUAAAAGAAAGAAAAGUAAAACUGAAAUCAACUUAGAGUCCUCAGUGGCAUGCAAGUUCAUUUUAGACAGAU